GAUGAAGAACGCAGUGAAAUGCGAUACGUAAUGUGAAUUGCAAAUUCAGUGAAUCAUCGAGUCUUUGAACGCACAUUGCGCCCCCUGGUAUUCCGGGGGGCGUGCCUGUCCGAGCGUCAUUGCUGCCCUCAAGCACGGCUUGUGUGUUGGGCCCCGUCCUCCGAUCCCGGGGGACGGGCCCGAAAGGCAGCGGCGGCACCGCGUCCGGUCCUCGAGCGUAUGGGGCUUUGUCACCCGCUCUGUAGGCCCGGCCGGCGCUUGCCGAUCAACCCAAAUUUUUAUCCAGGUUGACCUCGGAUCAGGUAGGGAUACCCGCUGAACUUAAGCAUAUCAAUAAGCGGAGGA
rnacentral:misc_RNA from 1 species